rnacentral:rRNA from 1 species
AUUGAACGCUGGCGGCAGGCCUAACACAUGCAAGUCGAACGAGUGGCGGACGGGUGAGUAAUGUCUGGGAAACUGCCCGAUGGAGGGGGAUAACUACUGGAAACGGUAGCUAAUACCGCAUACCAUCGGAUGUGCCCAGAUGGGAUUAGCUUGUAGGGGAGGUAACGGCUAACCUAGGCGACGAUCCCUAGCGGGUCUGAGAGGAGGACCAGCCACACUGGGACUGAGACACGGUCCAGACUCCUACGGGAGGCAGCAGUGGGGAAUAUUGCGCAAUGGGCGCAAGCCUGACGCAGCAAUGCCGCGUGUAUGAAGAAGGCCUUCGGGUUGUAAAGUACUUUCGUCAGGGAGGCGUUACCCGCAGAAGAAGCACCGGCUAACUACGUGCCAGCAGCCGCGGUAAUAC